rnacentral:lncRNA from 1 species
AUAGUGCUCGGUUACGGGAUCACACUAGACUAUCGCACACAGCCAGAUUGCAUGUCCUACUCACAAAGAGUAAACAACUCACCACAAGCUCUAUUCUCCAUGAGUAGGCUACACAAACACUAGCUGUAGGUAACCUACAUGGUCACGCUAGACUCGACAUGCAAUCUCAAUAACACACAUGUCAUAGUCACCUACAUGGUGAAUCUAGACACAACCACUCAACUACUAGCAGCACAUGCUACACAACAACGCAAUCAGACAUGCAUUAACUACAAUCGGCAUGUGAGAGUUCCACUCAAAUCACCAUGCGAUUCACAACAAUGUCUAGAUAAGCAUGCUACAACUUAACAACUACCUUAUCUAGACAAGCAUGCUACACAAUUUCUACACAAUGCAUGCUACACAACCAUCUGUUCAAGUCUAGAUACACAUACAACACCAUUUCCACAACAAUGCAUGCGAUUUACUAUCAUCAAGACAAGCAUGAAAAUAAAUACACAACCACACAAGCAUUCUAUCAACCUAAACACACAAUCAAGCACUCAAUAAUACAACAACACACACGCAUGGAGUCUAGCACACUCCCAUGCGGUUCACACACAAACCGCUCCUCGGUUUUACUUAAAGACACGCUUGGUUUAAGCUCUUCCCUGCAACCACACAUGGUUAGCACAUACAGAAAACACCUCCGUAACCCACCUAAGCCUUCUUACAAAGGAGAAAGGCCACGCUCACAGCCAGAACACUCUCCUACACGGUUAGGCCACGCUCACAGCCAGAACACUCUCCUACACGGUUCCACCUAGUUUUUACCAAAAACCGGUUUAGGAAGGCUAAAGGCUCAAGGGUACAAAACAGUUUUCAAACACAAAAUCAAAACCUUACCACCCAUUCUAGCACCACACCACAGAUCCUAGAGUAAGGAUUAGCCAUCACAAAGCCUCCUAACACUCACCUCACACACUUAGAGAUUUUUAUCGGUUUUUAGCAAUUUUCUCUCCCAAUCACUAACAACAAGAAUGACUUGAGAGAGAAAGCAC